GGACGACGCUGGCGGCGUGCUUAACACAUGCAAGUCGAACGAGGUCCACUGCGUAGCAAUACAAGGGAAGACCUAGUGGCGAACGGGUGCGUAACACGUGAGGAACUUGUCCCGGUCUCUGGGGUAACAGUUGGAAACGACUGCUAAUACCGGAUGACGUCGGAAUCUCGCAUGGGAUACUGACGAAAGGGUUACUGGAUCGGGAGAGCCUCGCGGCCUAUCAGCUUGUUGGUGAGGUAACGGCUCACCAAGGCAUCGACGGGUAGCUGGUCUGAGAGGAUGAUCAGCCACACUGGGACUGAGACACAGCCCAGACUCCUACGGGAGGCAGCAGUGGGGAAUCUUGCGCAAUGGGCGAAAGCCUGACGCAGCAACGCCGCGUGCGGGAAGAAGGCCCUCGGGUUGUAAACCGCUUUCAGUAGGAACGAAAAUGACGGUACCUGCAGAAGAAGGUGCGGCCAACUACGUG
rnacentral:rRNA from 1 species